rnacentral:rRNA from 1 species
UAGUCCACGCUGUAAACGAUGUCUACUAGCCGUUGGGUUAUUGAUUAACCAAGUGGCGUAGCUAACGCGUUAAGUAGACCGCCUGGGGAGUACGACCGCAAGGUUAAAACUCAAAUGAAUUGACGGGGGCCCGCACAGGCGGUGGAGCAUGUGGUUUAAUUCGAUGCAACGCGAAGAACCUUACCAGGUCUUGACAUCCCGGGAAGAGGCUAGAGAUAGCCUUGUGCCUUCGGGAACCCGGAGACAGGUGCUGCAUGGCUGUCGUCAGCUCGUGUCGUGAGAUGUUGGGUUAAGUCCCGUAACGAGCGCAACCCUUAUCCUUAUUUGCCAGCACGUUAAGGUGGGAACUUUAAGGAGACUGCCGGUGACAAACCGGAGGAAGGUGGGGAUGGAUGUCAAGUCAUCAUGGCCCUUACGACCUGGGCUACACACGUGCUACAAUGGGCAGUACAAACGGUUGCGAACCUGCGAGGGGAAGCCGAAUCUGAAAAAGCUGCUCGUAGUCCGGAUUGGAGUCUGCAACUCGACU